rnacentral:rRNA from 1 species
UCGGAUUGUAGUCUGCAACCCGACUACAUGAAGCUGGAAUCGCUAGUAAUCGCGGAUCAGAAUGCCGCGGUGAAUACGUUCCCGGGUCUUGUACACACCGCCCGUCACACCAUGGGAGUCGGAAAUGCCCGAAGUCUGUGACCCAACCAUUAAGGAGGGAGCAGCCGAAGGCAGGUCGGAUGACUGGGGUGAAGUCGUAACAAGGUACC